GAAUGUAGCAGUGUGGAAAUAGGGUUGUCCUGCUACAGUUAACUGCGCCUGCCGACCACAAGGGCGGCGGUACUAUAUAAAGGCUGCCCCCCUUCUCGCGCCCCACGGAGGCAUCCUUUCCGGGUCGGGUGUCUGUCUGCACAGAGUGGCGACAGAGUGCUCCGUGCCCCGUCCCCCUUUUUGCUCUUGGGUCCUCUCAACCGGUGGGAAUGCUCAUCAGCUGGCUGAAAUCCACCGGGGGUGAUUUUAUGUGACAACACUCAGUUGAUUCGGGCCACUGCUGCUUUGACUGCUGCUUUGACUGCUGCUUUGCAUGCAGCUUUGACUGCUGCUUUGCCUGCAACUGUGACUGCUGCUUUGCCUGCAACUGUGACUGCUGCUUUGCUGACGGCUGUAGGCUGGUGGUGGCGCCGGUGGUGUGGGUGGUGGUGGUCUUCUUC
ensembl:lncRNA